GCGUCUAGAAAGGAACAUGCGAGGACUUUUGUAAACUUUAUUGAAAUGGCAUCUUACCAGGGACUAUAAUAUGUUUGCGGUGUUAAAGAUAUGAUGUAACAACGUGUUAUCUAAAGAACUAUCUCAUUGUUUAUAUCCAAAUCAACAUACAAACCAGUGAAAUCGAGUUGAUGUGUGCAAUUUGACAGUUCGUGAAGAUGAAGCUUAAUAUUUUGAAAUAUAUGACAUACAUGGAAGAAUAAUUUGUAGAUAAAGUAUUUUCCACGAAUUCAACAACAUAAAUCAUGCUACAUUAUGGAGUGGAAGUUCAAUGAUAUUGUGUAAACAUUGUGUAAAUAUUUGCACACACUUUGGAGUGUAAGCAGAAAACUCAAAACAAUGCGGUCACACAAGUUUAACACGGAUCCUUACAGGAGUUCUAAUGAAGAAGAUUUAUAUUCAUAAAGGUUGCAAGCAAUUACCCUGUGGACAGUUUCAAGGUGUUUGCGGGACUUGUAAAAACACUAUAUACAACUCUAUACUAGAACCACUACUGAUUAGUUACAAAAAGCAAGGAGAAGGACAUGGUCAUGGUAUAUGACUUGCACUGGAACGUCAUGGAGAUUCGUUAUAGAUUUUACCAAGUGCCAGCAUAUACCUUCUCAGUUCCGCCUAGAUGAAUCAGAGAACUCUACCUCUCAGCCAGUCCUGUUUAACCUGCUGAAUUGAACUUGCCAAUGGAAUACUACUUAUAAUUAACUUUGAACAAUGACAGAAAAUACAUGACCUUGAUGAAACAUUGAGUCAAAUAUUUUCAUAUCUGUUGACUUGCUUAUUAUUUCUUGUACAAAUGUUUCAUCAUUUUUGGAACAUAAUAUUAUUAUUCUUAUCAACUGUUGAAAAUUGCUGAAAUAAAGAACAUAAUAUAAUUG